rnacentral:rRNA from 1 species
CACGUGACUAACCUACCCCGGUGUGGGGGAUAACGGGUCGAAAGACUCGCUAAUCCCGCAUACGAUCCGCCUCGGCGGAGGAAAGCCGUAAGGCGCACUGGGCGGGGGUCGCGUCCCAUUAGAUAGUUGGUGUGGUAAUGGCGCACCAAGUCGAUGAUGGGUCUCUGGUCUGAGAGGACGACCAGACAGAUUGGGACUGAGACACGGCCCAAACUCCUACGGGGGGCAGCAGCAAGGAAUUUUCGGCAAUGGGCGCAAGCCUGACCGAGCAACGCCGCGUGGAGGAUGACGGCUCUUGGGUUGUAAACUCCUUUUGGGGGGGACGAUAAUGACGGUACCCUCCGAAUCAGGCCCGGCUAACUACGUGCCAGCAGCCGCGGUAAUACGUAGGGGCCAAGCGUUGUCCGGAAUUACUGGGCGUAAAGCGUGGGUAGGUGGUCGGUGAUGUGCCGCGUGAAAGCGCCGGAGUAAUGCCGGCGAGGUCGCGGUAGACACACGGACUCGAGGCUCGCAGAGGAACGUGGAAUUCCCGGUGUAGUGGUGAAAUGCGUAGAUAUCGGGAGGAACACCAGUGGCGCAAGCGGCGUUCUGGGCGAGACCUGACACUGAGCCACGACGGCGUGGGGAGCAAACAGGAUUAGAUACCCUGGUAGU